AACUGUGGGUCGCAGCACGGCUAGAAAAAAUCCUUCCGUUAUUAUUCAGCUUUCAGUAGCCCUGGUUGAGUUCUUUAGAGAAAUGUGACUGUUUCUCUGUGUGCCCUUGUCUAUGUCCCGCUACACGACGAGAUGAGUCUGGUCAUUGUCAUUUUCUGAGCUGCGAACGGGCCGAAAGCCCUAAGUAUCGUUCAUUGCCUGCACGAGCUAUGAAAUACAAUAAACAGGACACUAUCCUGACACUAUCAAUAAACAGCAAGGGUGGUCUAGCUGUUCACCGCUUUUCCGCACCUCAGCCUCAGCCUCCCGAGCCCCGGCAAGUCUAUGUGCAGGAUGCCUGCUGUGCUGCGCACUGUGCUGUGUGUGCCCGCUGCUUUCGGUCUGUGCAAGGCCGCGGUCGUCACCGGUGCUCGAGGACUGGCCCGCGCCCGACUGCCCAGCAGCGUAAUUCGUUCAGCCAUGUAUGCGUGUGUUCUCGCCGGUUCCGUUUGCCCCACCAUCUCCGGCGUCAUCAGGCUGCGUGCUCCAUCUUCCUCUCUGAUGCCCCUCCGGGGCCCACGUGACCCCUGUGGCAGUGGCUCUACAGGACAGGACAGGUGUGUGUGUGUGUGUGUGUGUGUCUCUCUCUCUCUCUCU